CCGACUCGCUCGUCGGCGUCGUCACAGACUGAGCGACGACGUCACCGUCAGUCUGGACUGAGCCACAUUCGAUCGGCGAGUUACACUGUUAGCUUGUUAGCUGUCAAACAAUAAACAGUCCAAGUUUCAUCGUUGGGUUUAAAAAGGCGACACUCGACAGCACACACCCCUGCGUCCAAAGACAAGUGGUUCGAUCCGGUGCGCGACUCAGACUGCUGGAAUUGCUAAUAAUCAGGUGGGCUUUCCAAGGAGCGUUGAAGCUUUUUCAAAGAAGCGCUCGCGAUUUUUGACAGCUGUCCCAAAAUUCAGUUGAAAUGGUCCGCUCUCGGGAUGU